GACGAACCGAGCGAACGUUGUUCGGAAUCACUGGGCUUAAAGGGCGCGUAGGCGGGCUGUCAAGUCUGGGGUGAAAUCCCGCGGCUCAACCGUGGAACUGCCUCAGAUACUGACGGUCUCGAGGGAGAUAGGGGCGAGCGGAACUAAUGGUGGAGCGGUGAAAUGCGUUGAUAUCAUUAGGAACUCCGGUGGCGAAGGCGGCUCGCUGGAUCUCUUCUGACGCUGAGGCGCGAAAGCUAGGGGAGCAAACGGG
rnacentral:rRNA from 1 species